rnacentral:rRNA from 1 species
GACGAACGCUGGCGGCGUGCCUAAUACAUGCAAGUUGAGCGCUGAAGGUUGGUACCUGUACCAACUGGAUGAGCAGCGAACGGGUGAGUAACGCGUGGGGAAUCUGCCUUUGAGCGGGGGACAACAUUUGGAAACGAAUGCUAAUACCGCAUAAAAACUUUAAACACAAGUUUUAAGUUUGAAAGAUGCAAUUGCAUCACUCAAAGAUGAUCCCGCGUUGUAUUAGCUAGUUGGUGAGGUAAAGGCUCACCAAGGCGAUGAUACAUAGCCGACCUGAGAGGGUGAUCGGCCACAUUGGGACUGAGACACGGCCCAAACUCCUACGGGAGGCAGCAGUAGGAAAUCUUCGGCAAUGGACGAAAGUCUGACCGAGCAACGCCGCGUGAGUGAAGAAGGUUUUCGGAUCGUAAAACUCUGUUGGUAGAGAAGAACGUUGGUGAGAGUGGAAAGCUCAUCAAGUGACGGUAACUACCCAGAAAGGGACGGCUAACUACGUG